GUCUCUCAUUAUGUCUGAAUUUGUGAUAACAGAAGAGUCUGUUACAUGUAAUAGGGUAAUUUUCUUCAAUACGUUAGACUACGCUACUAGUUUUGUUCAUGUCGAUGUUUUGACUUCAUAUGGAAAAAUUCAAGUAUUGUUCGAAGCAAUAGUGACUGCAAAUGGAGUUUGAAUGUGACAACGGUUAAAUCCACAUGCCAGUCUGUUUUGAGUGUUGCUCUUUUAGACCUAACAGGCAAUGAUCAAUCGUGCAUGUAGUCAAUCACCAAAUUCACUUACAGUCAUUGUCUGAGCAUUUUCUACUAAUAUCCUAAUGUGUUAAUCAUAUACAAAGAUGAUAAUGAAACCGGCCAUCGGCUAUUGAUUCUUGGUUCUCAGAAAUCUACAGCUCAAUCAUGCAAUACUGAUAUUACAGAAAAAAAUACUUUCAUCGUAUGAGCUAACUCACGUAAAAUCAUUCAAUUUUUAGAUACGACAACCUCUUUGCUUGUUUAUUUUUGAAAUACUAAAUUGCUUGCUUCAGUCUUUAUAAAUAAAAGUAUAAUCAUUAGAUUUCAUGAUUAGCAUAGAAUAUAAAAGAAAAACAUCACUAGCAAGGAACAUUUUUCAAAUUAAAAUUCAAAAACAAAUCGUUACAAAAAGAUGCAAUUUAUAAAAAAAAAAUGAAAGUACACACACACGGUUAAAGAGUCAAAAAGAAGAAUUUAAUUUUAUUUUGCUCAAGCUUAUAAGAAUCUGUAAAAAAAAGUUAGUAAAUUAUUCAAAUAAUAAGAUUUCAUGGAAAAGCACUUGAAACAAUAGAAAUAUUCAGAGAUCGGAUUUGGCUUCCGGGUCAAUCGUCACAGAUUUCGGAUAGGGGCGACACAAAUUGCUCAUCAUAGUAAUAUUUUUAACAUUGUUUCAGCGUUUUAAAACUCAAGUUGAAAUUACUUACAUUCUGUUUUGUAAUUGACAAACCACCUCUUGUUAUGAGCUUCUACUUAUAUAAUCCUUGGAC